rnacentral:rRNA from 1 species
GACAGAGGAUGCAAGCGUUAUCCGGAAUGAUUGGGCGUAAAGCGUCUGUAGGUGGCUUUUUAAGUCAGGGGUGAAAUCCUGGAGCUCAACUCCAGAACUGCCUUUGAUACUGAGAAGCUUGAGUCCGGGAGAGGUGAGUGGAACUGCGAGUGUAGAGGUGAAAUUCGUAGAUAUUCGCAAGAACACCAGUGGCGAAGGCGGCUCACUGGCCCGGUACUGACGCUGAGGUGCGAAAGCGUGGGGAGCGAACGGG